rnacentral:rRNA from 1 species
UACGUAGGGCGCAAGCGUUGUCCGGAAUUAUUGGGCGUAAAGAGCUCGUAGGCGGCUUGUCACGUCGGAUGUGAAAGCCCGAGGCUUAACCUCGGGUCUGCAUUCGAUACGGGCUAGCUAGAGUGUGGUAGGGGAGAUCGGAAUUCCUGGUGUAGCGGUGAAAUGCGCAGAUAUCAGGAGGAACACCGGUGGCGAAGGCGGAUCUCUGGGCCAUUACUGACGCUGAGGAGCGAAAGCGUGGGGGAGCGAACAGG